GUGUGGGGUGGGUGGUACAAUCCCAGCUUCUAGGAUUCCUCCUAUAUGCACAGCAAGCAAACUCACCCUAAAAGGUCGGAAAAUAGACAACUGGCCACAUAGCAGUCAUCCAGUAACCUAGGCAUUCUCUGUAGAAUCCGUGGGGAAUGAGCAUCCUUGAUGGCUUUUUGAUAUCCUAAAAUUCCCCAGGUCAUGUUAAAAAUCGUCUUCACCUACCCUGAGAUAGAUAACAAAAAGGUUCAGGGCCUAUCAUGAAUUUCUCAGCUUUCCCCCCUUUGUUUUAGAUUUUACCCAAAACUUCAAAGACUAUGCUAGAUGGGAGAUUAGGGACUUUUCUACAAGACAGUUAUUCCAGGCAGGUCCAGGCAGGAUGGGGGUGAACAAUGAGUAGAAAAUGGGUACUCGGGGCGUGGGAGGUGGGGGUGGGUUUCGAGACAGGGUUUCUCUGUGUAACUUUGGAUUCUAUCCUGGCACUUGCUCUGGAGACCAGGCUGGCCUUGAACUCCCAGAGAUCCGCCUGCCUCUGCCUCCUGAGUGCUGGGAUUAAAGGCGUGUGCCAACUCCCGGUUUAGAAGAGGAUUCUACAAAAGUCACUGUUCCUGGAGAUUAAAGUGAAUAAUACUGGCUGGCACCAGUACAUACUGAGAUAUGCUGCUGUUUCCUAGAAAAACAAGAGCAACCUGUGGCCUUGAGAUAUUCCAGUUAGCAGUCAAAUCUGUAAUCUGUACAUUUUAAUAUUUAUUGGGCAAAUGAUGGCUUACUAGGAACUCUUCAGUGCUAGGAAUGGUGAAAAAGAAUUUUUUAUGGAGUUUGAAGGGGAUAGUGUGCACAAAUAACAGGGAAGUAAAGGAAGCAAAAAGGUGGUGGCCAGUGAAAGCUUUACUGGAGUACUUACAGAGACUAAAGGAAGGCUUAGAGGAGGACCUUUGUAGUAAAGGGAACUUGAUUUGAACUAAGAGGAAACUCCCAUGGGCACCCCUGCCUUUAAUACCAGCACUGGAGAGGCAGAGGCAGGCAGGCCUCUGAGUUCAAGACUAGCCUAGUCUACACAUUGAGUUCCAGACCAAGCAAGAGCUGCAUAGUGAGAUCCUAUUGGGGAAAAAAAAGUCUUUAUGGGUUCCAUAGUGGCUAAAGCAAGGAGUAGGAAAUAAAGAAAUAGAAGGAACCUGGCCAGUAUUUGCUGAGUGAGAUGGAGAAUGUUAGUUUCAUCAUCAACUUGUGUUUUGAAUCACUCGGUGGUGGUGGUGGUACAUGCCUUUUAAUCCCAGCACUAGGAAGGCAGACAGACCUCAAGUUUGAGGCUAGCCUGGUCUACAAAUCAAGUUCCAGGACAGACUCCAAAGCUACACAGAGAAACCCUGUCUGGAAAAAAAAGAGACCAGGGAGCCAAAAACAGUGACAAGCAGUAAAGGUGAGUUGCAUUCAUUAUAUACAUUGUAAUUGUAGAACCAGUUAGGCAGUGACAAGGGUUGGAUUCAUUUGACAUUGUAAUAGUAGAACCAAAAUAUUUGCUAACCAGGUGUAUGUCAGGUAUGAUUAGACUUAAAUAAGCUGUAUUUAGUGCUGAUUAAAAAAAAUUCUAGUGCCUAAGCCGGGCGUUGGUGGUGCACGCCUUUAAUCCCAGCACUCAGAGGCAGGCAGAUCUCUGAGUUCGGGACCAGCCUGAUCUACAAGAGCUAGUUCCAGGACAGCCUCCAAAGCCACAGAGAAACCCUGUCUCGAAAAACCAAAAAAAAAAAAAAUUCUAGUGCCUAGAGAGGAUUAUGAUCCUUAGCUACUUGUAACUCUAAGCAUAUUCAGACUAACCAAUGUCACUAUCACUAUAUCUUGCAUUAGCCUUUGUUUUAAUAAAAUCUUCAGAAUUUUGAAGAGUUUUUAAAAAUUGUUUGAUUCUGCAGUACUUAACCAAUAGACAAACUCUCCAUAGACAGGAUGAGAAACCUCUUACAUAGAGCCCAGCAAUGUGUUUUAACAUGCUCUGUGGAUAACUCUGAUGGAUACCAAAGAGUGAAAAUCAUGGCCAGCAACACUGAGGAGAGGCAGCAGGAUCAGCCUGAAGUGGUAAAAGAGGUCCUACGAUUUCUGGGAAACAAGUAGACAGCUGGGAGCUCUACAGCAUGAGCCAAGUUCUUCAAGAUGAGAGUGCUGUGAGGAAUGUAAAGUGGAGGGCAUUGACAAUCACCACACAGGUGGAAGAUGUCUGCAAAUUCUAGUGGCUGCUACAGGAAAGGAGCAAACAUUGCAAGGCAAAGAGUUGUGCACACAAGGAUGGAGGACACUGGGGACUCAACCACAGGAGGAGAGACACUUCUUUUGUGUUGAAGAUAGGAUCUCUCAGCUUCUCGCUCUGGCUGCGUGCUGCCAUACCUCCCUCACCGCAUGGACUUUGUUCUGGAACCCUAAACCCAAAUAAACCCUUCAGAGUUGU